CAUGCAUUUCCUCCAUGAUGUGCAACCGAAAGCAAUGGGGCCAACUACUAAUCACAGACUGAAGCCUCUAAAAUUGAAAACAGAAGGAUUGCAGUUCCCUGUCCACUUGGAGUUAGACUUGCCUCUGGGACUUAAUUUGGACAAUGAAAUGUUGGGUUAGGAUGCUGGCUGCCCAGAUUCUAGAGAAGCAACAGAGCAGAGCCUUCAGGGACCCACAGUGGAC